rnacentral:rRNA from 1 species
UACAGAGGUCUCAAGCGUUGUUCGGAUUCAUUGGGCGUAAAGGGUGUGUAGGUGGCGCGCUAAGUCGGGUGUGAAAUUUCGGAGCUUAACUCCGAAACUGCAUUCGAUACUGGCGUGCUUGAGGACUGGAGAGGAGACUGGAAUUCAUGGUGUAGCAGUGAAAUGCGUAGAGAUCAUGAGGAAGACCAGUGGCGAAGGCGGCGACCUGGACAGUUACUGACACUCAACUACGAAAGCGUGGGGAGCAAACAGG